ensembl:snRNA U4 U4 spliceosomal RNA
AGCUUUGCGCAGUGGCAGUAUCAUAGCCAAUGAGGUUUAUCCAAGGUGCGAUUAUUGCUAAUUGAAAACUUUUCCCAAAGCAGC